rnacentral:rRNA from 1 species
GACGAACCACACAAACGUUAUUCGGAAUUACUGGGCUUAAAGGGUGGCGUAGGCUGCGCAGAAAGUUGGGUGUGAAAUCCCUCGGCUCAACCGAGGAACUGCGUCCAAAACUACUGUGCUCGAGGGAGACAGAGGUGAGCGGAACUUAGGGUGGAGCGGUAGAAAUGCGUUGAUAUCCUAAGGAACACCCGUGGCGAAAGCGGCUCACUGGGUCUCUUCUGACGCUGGAGGCACGAAAGCUAGGGUAG